rnacentral:rRNA from 1 species
UACUUGUACCGACUGGAUGAGCAGCGAACGGGUGAGUAACGCGUGGGGAAUCUGCCUUUGAGCGGGGGACAACAUUUGGAAACGAAUGCUAAUACCGCAUAAAAACUUUAAACACAAGUUUUAAGUUUGAAAGAUGCAAUUGCAUCACUCAAAGAUGAUCCCGCGUUGUAUUAGCUAGUUGGUGAGGUAAAGGCUCACCAAGGCGAUGAUACAUAGCCGACCUGAGAGGGUGAUCGGCCACAUUGGGACUGAGACACGGCCCAAACUCCUACGGGAGGCAGCAGUAGGGAAUCUUCGGCAAUGGACGAAAGUCUGACCGAGCAACGCCGCGUGAGUGAAGAAGGUUUUCGGAUCGUAAAACUCUGUUGGUAGAGAAGAACGUUGGUGAGAGUGGAAAGCUCAUCAAGUGACGGUAACUACCCAGAAAGGGACGGCUAACUACGUGCCAGCAGCCGCGGUAAUACGUAGGUCCCGAGCGUUGUCCGGAUUUAUUGGGCGUAAAGCGAGCGCAGGUGGUUUAUUAAGUCUGGUGUAAAAGGCAGUGGCUCAACCAUUGUAUGCAUUGGAAACUGGUAGACUUGAGUGCAGGAGAGGAGAGUGGAGUUCCAUGGGUAACGGGG